UUUUCAAACACCUUGCCCACCUUCUGCAUACCAGGCUUGCAUUCUGAAAAACGUCAGCCCCACAGGAAGCUGCCUGCAAAUUCAGGGAGCCCUUCUGAGUCUUAACGAGGGCUUGAAUAUACUUUCAGAGAAAUGCCAGCAAAAACUGUAGUCAUUUGGGGAAGAAUAAGUCUGGAAGAAAAAUACACAGAGGACUAGCACCAAGAGGGUUUGAGCCCCGAGUCAGGCCCUGCACUCACAGUGCCACCCCAGACACCCCUGCAGCUUCCAGCUUUCAAGUGAAUAAGAUGUGUGUCCAACACCACCCAGCCAACAAGGAACAAAGCCAGGAUUUAAAUUUUGACAGUUGCAGCUCAGAGCCUACGUUCUUUUUCCUCACUCUGAGGGGAAGUGGGAGAAGGAGUGUUUGUGUUUGGGUGGGGGGUAGGAUUUGAACAUAGAUAUAUAUUAUCUUAUAUCCAAGAUCAAUCUGUCUCUUCUUCCUCUGCCUUCUACGACAUCCUUACUCAUCUACUCAAGGACUUUAUAACUGCUGUGUCACAAAUCACCUCAAAACUUGGUGGCUUAAGACAACAAUCAUACAGCAUUGCUCACAACUCUAACGCAGUGAGAGAUUUUAGACAUGAACAGAGCUCCACUGGACUUGAAUUGCUUUGAUAAAUCUCAGGUAAGCAUCUGAGUUCUAGGCCCUCUUUCAAAACAAGAAUUUCUUUUUCUUUAUGUUUUAGUUCCAGGAUUUUAUUGGGCAGAUGAAGGCUGCUUUGUUCCUUUAGAAAACCUCCCUCUCUGUUUAUGUAGCUCCUCAUUGACUUUCCUCUCUUAUCAAGAUUUGGAAGCACAAACUGGUGUUCAAUUCAGUGAAAGCAUCAAAGUAUCCAGCAAUGUCAGAUUGAAUAGAACAUUAUAUAGUUAUCAAUAGACAUUUUGAAGCCUUUUUAAAAAGGGCAUUGAGGGAAAAUGCCCAUGAAAUAAGGAAAGGAGUCAGUGGAAAUUUGUAUCUAUAUCUAUAGAUAUUUGUCAGUUAUGUUUCUAUCUUACAAAUCUAUUUAUCCACCAAUCUAGAGAAAGGAAAUAUACCAAAAUAUUAACAGUGAGUAUCUUUGAGUGAAGAGAUUAUGAAUUAGUAAACACUUAAACAUACAUUUCUGAUUUCCAAUAGUUCGACCAUGAACAUGUAUUUUUGUAAUCCAAAAUGAUUAGAACAAGAAGUACUUAUUAAUAAAAAAAUAAUAUGGCAAAAGUUCUGGCAAGACAUUCUUAUACUACAGAAGCUUUGAGGCAGUAAUUUAAUAUAUACGAUUAUUUAUUCUUUUGCUUUCUUUAGUUUUACAUUGGUUUGAGAGAAUACUAAUGGAAUUGUAACUUACCAGAUAUGUUUUGUAAACAUACAUUCAGUAAAUUCAGACAUGUACAGGCAAGUCUGGUAGCCUGCUGGGUCUUUCUGCAUGAAGGAAAGAGGGUCUUGGUAAUGAAAAGUUAUUAUUUCCUUGGAGUUGACGGUUGGUUCCACAAUGCCCUCCCCAAACCCCAUUCACUGUGGCAUCGGGGAAUAUUUUAAUCUCUCAGGCAUUGGGUGGCAUUCCAGGUGACAAAGACACACAUCAUUACUAGAGUUAGAGUACACAAGCUUAGUUGGGGGUGACCUUGGGAAUGAAAAAGAAUUCAGUUACACCCUCAUACAAUAACAACAAGCUUCCUACUCCUUCAGAGAACAGCCAUUGCCCUCAGGAGAGGAAGCUAUGAAAGAUAAUGAGUUAAAUUAAUGCUUAUUAAUCAGUUGAUACAAAGAAAAUAAGUCAAAAGUCACUCAGUUUCAUUAAUAUCAUCAAAACACCAUUACAUCCAUCUAGAGGCCCGAUAGAGAAGAGAGACAGUAGAUAGGUGAUGUCAUGAGGAUCUCCUCCCCUUCUUGAGUUCUUACUGCAUUAUAAAAAAUAUCAUAAAUUCAUUUCUUAGAUCAACAAAUUUAGAGAUUUUUAAAAUAUGGUACUUUAUUUUAACUUAUUAAAACCCUAUAUACAGUUUCCUAAGACUAGGGGAGAAUUUAAAUUUUGCAAAGCAACUGAGCAUGUAUUUACGAAAUGUGUCUAGCACUAUACUACAUAUUGUGGAGGCUAAAGAGAUAGGACAUUCCCUCUAAAGAAAGAUCUUAAGACCUUAUUGGGAAGAUAACCAUACACAUGUAUAUGGCAUACAAGCAAUAUUACAUAGUCCAGGAGGUAUGGUAGGGUGAAUUAUUGAUGAAGAAAGUGGUCUAUUGCAAUUUUAGAAUAUAAACUCUGGAUUUGGCUCCCCUGAAAAUAUAAGUUCCAUUCCUUUUAUUACUAUUGGGCAAGAUACUUAGUCUCUGUAUUCCUCAGCUUCUUCAUCUGUAAAAUGGCAAAAAAUUAAAUCUGCUGUGUAAAGUAACCCAUAUGCCAUGUAUUCAGAAGAAUUUCUGACACAUAGAUGGUACUCAAUAAAAACUGGCUCUUACCACUGCCAAAGGUAAAGAAAAACAGUUCAGAGAAUACAUCUGAUACUUGUAAAAUAUCAAUUGCCAGGAUUGGACCAGGGUUUUGACAGAAAGUGAUGCCUUUUAGAAAUGGCAUGAUCAGAUUUCAAAGAACAUUUUUGGGUUUGCAUUUUAUAAAAGGCCAGGGAUUAUUCAUCCCAAUGACAGCUACAAAUCAUUCCCAUACAGAAAAGAAAGUGGAAAAAACAGGUCAGGUGAUUAUUUUCUUAAAAAAACAUCUCAGAUCACUUAUUUGAGGUUUCUCUUGAAAGUGUGAAAAGUUUAUGACCAUCCACAGCUCAUGAUGGUGACAAUCCUGAGGAUAUAGGAAAGUCAUUUCCCCUGCAGGAAGAAAAAAAAUAUCCUAUAGGAGAGAUGAGUAUGCCAAGAAGCCAAAAAAGGUAAGAGAAUAAUAUCUAUUCAUUCACUCAGUCAACAAACAUAUGAAGUACCUACUAUGCAAAGCAUGGCACUAGGAUCGAGAAUCUUACAUUAGUCUGUACCCUCAAGAGUUUAAUGACAAUUCAGGGAUAAAAUGGAACGUAAUGAGGGUCAGAACACGUCCCUCCAGAAGGCAUGCAAGGGGUAUAUAUAGCAGGGAUUCGGACAGGCCUCCUGGAGAAGAUGCUGUCUGGAUGGGAUGCAGGGGGACAAAAUACUGCAGGUAUUCAUUAUGGCUAGCGUGUCAGUGUGGGAAAGCAUAGCAUGGAACUGCACCUGGAGACUGAAGGAGGGGCCGUGUGAAGUUCUGCCUUUAUUCAGAGACCCAGGGGAACCCACUGAAAGAUUUAAAGAAGGGGGAUGACAUUUAACUAUCUUUAUUUCUGUAAGAUCACACGGGUUGCACCAUGGAAGCAAAUUGGAAGGUGGACCAGAACUGAGCGUUUAUCAAUUUUAUAGCCAAAAAUCUUGUGUAGUUUUCUGUGCGUAUGAAGUCUAAAAUGCAGCGAAACUCACUCUCUUUUAAAUCUAUGUGGCUUGCUGGUCCAGUCCAGUGCUAUCACCCACCAGUCAGUCCUUGUCAGACUCCCACUCAGUUCCCUAUAAUUAGUGAUACAGCUGCCACAGUAGACAAAGAGGAGGAGAAUGAGGUAUGAACUGUUUUGUUUGUUUUCCUUCUCUCAUCUAGUCAGUGUAAGGAAUUUCACUAGUAAUUUUUUUUUUCUUUUGGCAAAAGCAGUAAUAUAACUUAUUAACCUAUCAGCUUCCCCCCUCCCAAGAUCUUAACGUGGCAUUAUGGUCUAUUUAAGUGGUUACCCAAAAUAUUGCAUUCCUGAUGUUGAUCUAUGUAAGAACGAUCCUGCAUUGUUCUUAGUUGCAAUAAAACAAAGCAGACAAAAGCAACCCAAAUAUCCAUCAAGAGAAAAUAGAUAAGUCAGCUUUUGUCAAAUCACACCAUAGAAUUUAUAUAGGAGCACAAGUGAAGGAAAUACAGCUGCAUACUUUGAGAGAUGAAUCGUAGGUGUAUAAUGUUAAAUGAAAACCACAGGGCUCUGAGGGCCACGCACAGUAUAAUAUCAUUUUUGUAGCACCCAAGAACAAACAAAUCUGAGGUACUUCUUACUUAGCAAUAUAUGGAUAUGUAGUAAAAGCAAAAAUAAAUAGCCAGAAAAUUAUAAAAUAAUCAAGUUAGUAUAUUCCUCAAAGAGGAGGAAGGUAGAAGCGCUGGUCAGGAGCACACAGACAACUUCAAGACAUUGACAUUGGUGAAGUUGCAGUUCUUGCCUUUCGCAAUGGCGUUGAUUUCUUAAUUUUGAAAACUGUGCUGUGCUUAAGUAGAAUGUUAAUAUUUAGGGAAGCUGAAUAAAAGGUUAUGGAA